GUGCUUGCUUCAGCAGCACAUGUACUAAAAUUGGAACAAUACAGGAUGAGCAUGACCUCUACCAAGUAUGCCAUUCAAAUUCGUGAAGUGAUAUGUGUGCGU